GAAUGGUAAAGUUGCCUGGGGAGUAGGAGUACUACUAAUAUGGCCACUGGGCAUCAACUGUUCAAUUCAAAAGCUGGCCUCCUAAAAGUGAACUAUAUAUAAGGGGCACAGGCAAAGGAUCAAUAAAAGAGUUUGAGAUCCAUCCGAAAAAUAUAUAUGUUCCCAAGCUUAAUGAACCCAUUUGAAAACCCAGAGCUAACCAUCUCUCUAAAACAGAGGCAUAUUAAAAGUCUACUUCCUAACACAAGCAGUUUAAAGCUUUUGUAUCUUAGGCCCUUGAAGGCUGAUAUCAAGAGGCCGUGUCCUCAUCAAUCACCAUCUGAAUAUGUUUCUUCAGUUUUCUCCUUCGACGGUUACGGGCCCAGUAUUGAUUGCGUAGUACGAAUGCAUCUGUUGCCACUUUCUUCCCAUCAUCAUUUCGGUUCCAAU
rnacentral:misc_RNA from 1 species